AAUAGUUUUUUAAAUGGAAACUGGAAUGAAUGAAGUGAUGAAAUUUAGACUGUCUUAAGUUAAAGUAUUAAAUUUAUUAAUUAAGUAAAAAUACUUAAAUAAAAACAUGGGACGAGAAGACCCUAUAGAAUUUUAUAUAAAUUUGAUAAUAGAUUUAGAUUCAAAUUUGUUAAAUUUAUAUUUUAUUGGGAGGAUAGUUAAAUUAUAAAAACUUUAAAAAAUAAAAAUCCAUUAAUUUAUGAAUUGAAAAUAUAGAAUGAUAUAAAGAAAAUUAAAAUAAAAUUAAUUACCUUAGGGAUAACAGCGUUAUAUUUUUAGAGAGAUCUUAUUAAUAAAAAUGUUUGC
rnacentral:rRNA from 1 species